UGAAGUGGGGAGCACAGAUCUCCUUCCUGCAAGGCGGAGACUGGGACCCGCAGUUCUGGUGAAGACAUCAAGGGAACAGGAUAAUCCACAGGUGGGACGGUGGGUUCCACUCAGCACCGGGGACCCCACGCCCACUUCCCUUCUCCCGUGGCUGCGGUGGCAAGGACAAUCUCUCGGCUUGUUUUGUGCAUUAACUUCUAAGCCAAUUACGUCUCACUGGACGGAUGACUUCGUUUUCUUAGUCUGGUUUAUGAAUUAUUGAGAAGCCUGUGAACUCUGAGUUGAUGUUCUGACCAGAUCAAUGAAGUCCUUCCUCUGAAGGAUAUAUUCCUAGACUCUCAUGGAGUGGGUGUACAUGCACGUGAGUGUGUUUGCCUGCAAAAUCUUGAGGCCCUUUAAAACAAUCAAAAUGAAAGAAUUGAAACAAUUUGCUGCUUUCUGAGCGCUUGCUAGUUAUCUUUUACUGUUGCAGAGUCAAGGUCUUUUUAUAGACCACAUUACAAAGACAUUAACCCUGGAAUUGAUGUGGAAAUUCACCUCCCCCCUUGGAAUGAUUUGAGUACUUUUAGUUUAAUUUGACCUUAGAGUUGAGAUAAACCCUCCACUUCCUCUCCUGGCUUAUCAAAAUGGAAAAUAAUAUUGUUUUUUGGAAAAAAUCUCACAAACUAUGUGAUGCCUACCAGCCAUAUGCAAAUGCUUUGUUGGAUGUAAUGUGGGAGGGAGAGAGAAGCAAUAGGGCUUUACGUUUCCUAAUUUUUCCAAGCAGGGAGGCAAGUCAAGCCAGUAAACAAACACCAGUCUGCUCCAGUGUAUUAUCUUAGCCCUUGCCAUGUUCUACUUUCAGAGGCUGCACUGUUAGUCACCAGGAAGAAGCAAUUCAUGUAUCAGGAGCAGUCAUUACCCAACAACUGAAUCUACAUAACCUCCCCACACCCUCCUGUUAACCAUUUAAGACUGGUGCAAGAUCGCAUUUCACCUGUUGCAAUUAAGCCCAACACGGCCCUGCAAUGCUUUGAUAGCCACUGGCACUCACUCUUCCAGAUUGGAUUCUUCCAAGUCAUUUCUUGGCUAUUUACAACAGUUCAACUAUUUUUGUUGAAGGGUUAUAAAGAUUGACAUCUAUGGCAUUCUUCUUUCUGCUGGGGGAGAUUUUGCUUUCAGCUUUCCUGGCUUGCCUUGAUUUAAUAAGCAGCUAUGUUCAAUGGGGUCGCCAGCUGGUGGAAAUGGUGGCUAGAGUUUCCCUGGGAGUACAAUGCCCCCCACCCAGGCUCUGAUCAGUCCCCAACAGCUGUGACUGAAUGGGCGCAAGCCCAUUUAUUCUCUUGGAGGUACAGUAAGGACUGCUGUUUAUCCCCGUUGUCUGUGCCUCAAAGGGCAGCCUGGUAAUGUGCUUGCGAUCCAGCCACAAUGGUCAUGUUGAGGGGCAGGGCGUCCAGUGGGUGAUCCAUCAGCUGCCCUCACAUAAAGUGGGUCGUGAAGCUGGCAGGGAGGCAGCAAGGCAGUUUCUGUGUUGUUGCUAGGGAUGCCACAUUGAAUAUCCCAUUGCUCUGUGCUCGAAAUGAGGAAAAAGUGACAUUCUGCCUUCCCCUGCGAGAGUGGAAUACGUGAUUCACAGGCCUUCUGCAGCAUUCAUCAGACCUUGUUUACAUGGACAGGAGCCAAAAGAGCUGGAAGCCAAAGGGGUGUGUUUGGAAAGCCGAGGGAUGAUGUCAUCUGUCAGAGCAGCCGCAGCAAGCCACUUAACUGGCUUAGAUGCCUCCUAUUUAGCUGUGGAGCAAAUCCCAGUUUAAGUGUCGCAGGAGCACCACGGUGUUCUUGGGAUUUACAUGGUUUUACUAUGGUUUGUUUGUUAAAUAAUGUAACAUCAUCAUUUGUUAUUAUCUCAAGUGAGAAACAGCCUCGUCUACUGGUAAAAUGGAAAGAAGAAUGCUUUAACCUAUAUCAAGUGCACACGUGCGCAUACACACACACACACACACACACACACACCACAGGAAACAUAAAUAAGCAAUACUAUUGGUCUUGGCAAUGCACCAAUCAUAUUCCUUCACCGAGCACAUGCUCAUCCUCAAAUGAAAGGAUUUAAAUUUUCAGUGGAACUCAGAUGUCACGAGAAGACUCCCAGUAGCCUGUCCACUGCACCUUUCAGGGCUUUGAACCAAAUACAAUGAUGAUUGAGAAACGCAUGUGCUCUUCAUUACCUCGUUAUUUCAAAACAACUCAAUAAACAAUUGCUUCCUUUCGGGGGGAGAGGUGGAGCUGAGAUCUUCAAAGACAACUGAGAAGAACUUUGGUUUUGGAUGCCAAUGGAAUUCAACAAAUAUUUCUAUUUUCUCAGCAUUCACGCAUGACCUUUGGCUGUACACUCUGCCCUCUGGUUAUUAUUAGGAGCCCACUCCUCAGCUUCACCCCUGGUGUGGUAGAAUCUGUCCUUGUCAGGUUCUGUAAGGCACAGGUCUGUGAGCAAAGCACUGAACUCAGUGGUGAGAGGUGGGCGUGGUGCUUGUCAGGGCAGAACUUGGUCAUGUCAAUCAGACAGCAUGGUAGUUUAUUCGAGCGCCAUAGUGUAAUUUGGGCAUUUUAAUGUAAUCAUGUCAAUACCCGAAUUACAAACUUUGCUUUUUUGGGGGAGGCUCUUCACAUUAGUUCUUCUGGAUAAAACCAUUUAUGUCCAUAUUAGAAUUUUUGUCUAUUUUUGAAGGAUUCUAAGAUGAUUAAGAUGAAAGAUGUUCUUUCAAAAAAAGCAAACCACCACCACUAAGAACAAAACUGAAGUUCAGGUUAAUCUACACACUAGCAAGUCAUCCUCCAAUAAUUAAUCAAUUUUGCUCUACUUGGUAUAUAAAGAUGUAAAAUAUUUUAUAAAAGUGAACAAAGGGAAGGAUUUGGAUUUAUUUGGCCAAUAACUCAAAUAAUCCAAUAACUCAAUAUAUUGUAUUGCUUUUAUCUCUAGUGGUAUGUGAGCAGUUUAGCAGCUUCCUCGUGAUUCUCUUGGGGUUAGGCUGGGGCAGUCAGUGGGGUAAGCAUUUAAAGAAAAUAAUGAAACAGCCUAUCAAGAACAAUAGGAGUGCAAAGGUCCUUGUAAGAGAAUUUUUGGAAAAAAGAUGGCUUUCAGGGUUUGACAAAUGACAAGGUGAUAAUAGCAGGCUUGAGAUGGCCUGACUUCUUGGAAGCAGAGAUUCUACUUUUUGAUAGGAAUUGACACUACACUUAAUCUUCUGAGACUGAAAAAAUUGGAGUUUCCUGCAUUCAGGAGACUUUCAGAAUAGUUCUUUAAAACUAGUGCCUCCUGGCUUUGCCUCUGGAUGCCUCUUCAUGCUGACUUGGGCUCUGGCUUGGUAUCUUCAGGAUUCACCCUCAACAUUGUCCUCCAUGCCCUGGGAAAUUUCAUCUUUGCAUGAUUUUUUCAGCUCCCUGGGGACAUAGCAUGGGAAGUGAGCCCUAUUCCUUCAAUAAGAAAGCGGGCAAAUUCCUUCCAUGGAAUUUGGGUGUCCAAAAUGUUUUGGACACCCAAGAAAUAUCCAGUAUUUUGAUAGAGAAAGAAAUGGUUUGUUCAGGGAUGUUAAUGUAAUCCUGCUUCAUAAAAGCCAUGUGAUUGUACAAGAACAUAUUCGUUUGCUUUCUAUUGCCAGAAAAUAUCAAUGGUCAUCCAUGUAGACAGAAGAAAGUUGGAAAUUGUGGUAGCUAACCACUUAAGCCUCAGACACUUUUUUGUUUGUUUCAGGUACUGUAUUUUAUUCUUCCUUUGUCUUUGAUGUUCAAAAUGGGUCCACUUCACCCAAAUUGAAGUAGAGAUUUAGUAAUUAGCCACAUAACAGAAUCAACAAAGAUGGUAAAAUCAUUAACCAUAAAAUGCAAAGAGAAACUUUUUAGUGCAUGUAUAAAAUUAAAGGGAAAACAGUUAAAUCUUUCCCACUUUGGGUUACAGUAGGCAUGGCCAUAUAAAGUUCUUUUAAGGAAGAGGUUGUUUUUCAUUUAUGGAACAACAAAUAAUAUUAUGAGUACAAUCAGGAGUCAGAAAUGCCAAAUUCAUCUGUAUAAUUGUAAAAGAAGGAAAAAGAGUCUCUUUUGCUUAGAAGUAAUUAUGGAGCAGGCAGUUGACUUAACUUUGAAAUCCUUUUAAUGUCACUGGGGAAAUGUUUGAAUGACUGUUAUGGAGUCUUUCAAAUCAUGCCAUGUGACUUCUUCAAAGAGCCCUAUGAAUAGAGUAUGCUUUCAGUCACACACCCCUAAGAUGCCGGUUUCCUGUAGUUGAGGGAAAGCUUUAGUUUUUGUGAUGGUUUAAGAGUUGCUCAGUUUGGAAACCUAGGAGAGACUUACAGAUUCAAAAUAAUACUGAACCAAAUUAGAAUUUCUCCAAAUAUUUCCCAAGAAUCCAUAGUUCCUCCUGUUGCUUUCAAAUUACUCCACAGAGGCAAAGGGACCAGCCGCAGCAGAAGAGGAAUCCUCAGCCCCAGGCACAAACUACCCAAACAACUGAACCCAAAUUUCCCUGCACACAUAGAGAUAUUUAAAACAAGUUCUUUCCCAGGUUCUUAUUAGCUGACUCCUGUUAGCUUCCAAGUGCCAGUGUGGGGGAUGAGCAGGGGCAAGGUUUGGGGCAAGUCUUUGGACCGUAUUGUUCUGUGGCAUGAGAGUGACAAUGAUAUGAAUGCAUCGGAAGCCUUAAAUUAAUGAAUAGCAAGAAAAUAGCCAGAAAUGCUGCAUCUAGGCUGAUCUGAACAACCAAGGUGAAAGUGUGUCUCACCUGCGAGUUUUGGUUUUGUUCAGAGAUAGCUUAGAUCACAAUAUGAGUAGCUGGUGUUGAAUGUGAAGUAACAGUCCUGUUCUUUCCUCUUCUGAUUGUAGGUGGGUGUGUGUGUCAGGAACAGGCUGGGGAAAGUCUCAUCCCAUUUUAAAAAAUGCCUCAUUUCUCCAUUUUGUGCCCUUCUGUUUUAGGGAAUGGGGUGGUAGUAACUCCCCCAUAAAGCCUAUUCCACUACAGCGUUUGAAUCAGGCCGACUCUGUCUUGGCAUCUCUAGAAGGCCAGGGCUAAGGAUGAGGAUCGGGCAGAGAAGGGUAAACUGCUUCUGGGAGGGCAGUGGCCUUGGUGGAACUGUCCCUACAUCAUUUGGAAACUAAAGGUCAACGGAUCCUUCUCUCGAAGGAUAGGAGUUGUAUCAAGCCAAACUUUCAUCUGUGUGGAACUCCAGGAAUGUUUCAAAAUGAAAGGAAAAGAAUGAACAGAAGGGAAAACUGAAGGGUGCUUUUUAUUUAUUUAUUUAUUUUUUUUAGCACUUCCAUCUAAAAUGUUAAAUCAUGUUGUCAAGGUCACAAACUAUCCUGUGUGGAUUUUUUUUUUUUUUUGGUCACAAUUCAUUUUUCAUUUUUAUUAAUAGAAAAUAACAAUUAUUCCAGUUAUUAUACAGACAAUAGUAUGGCAAUAUGUAAAACAGUGGAUAUGUAACCGAUGUGAUUCUGCAAUCUGUAUACGGGGUAAAAAUGGGAGUUCAUAACCCACUUGAAUCAAAUGUAUGAAAUAUGAUAUGUCAAGAGCUUUGUAAUGUUUUGAACAACCAAUAAUAAAAAAAAUAAAUUAAAAAAAAAUAAAAAAACCCCGAAUUUAACAUUAAUCACUUAAUAAUCCUAGUUUGAUAAUGAAAACUGUGGCUUGAAAAAAAAAAAACACUAUUCAGCACCAUUUGCUUAUAGGUCUUUGAGAAUUUGUUCUUAAAGUGUCUGGGAACCAUCCUGUCUGCUAAGUGCAGGAACUGCUGAGCUGCAUGAGAAAGCCUCUCUGGGACAGCCAAUGGGAAGCUAAGCCACCAUUCCAAGAGGAGUCAGUGUACUUCAGCAAGGUAACUCCGAGUAUACAACAGUCCCCUCCCUACACUUCAGCCCAGGUGGGACAUGCUCUAAGCACUGAGGUAUGAGAAAUCAGAUUAUUAUUUACUGUUAGAAUUGAUCUUUCCAGCUAAUAACAGUAAAUCUCUG
rnacentral:lncRNA from 1 species